rnacentral:rRNA from 1 species
CCUACGGGUGGCAGCAGUGGGGAAUAUUGGGCAAUGGGCGCAAGCCUGACCCAGCAACGCCGCGUGAAGGAAGAAGGCCCUCGGGUUGUAAACUUCUUUUAUUCGGGACGAAACAAAGGACGGGAGCGAAUGAAUAAGCCACGGCUAACGACGUGCCAGCAGCCGCGGUAAGACGUAGGGGGCAAGCGUUAUCCGGAUUUACUGGGUGUAACGGGCGUGUAGGCGGGAGAGCAAGUCAGACGUGCAGUUCCCGGGCUCCACCCUGGAACUGCGUUUGAAACGGUUCUUCUUGAGUGAUGGAGCGGCAGGCGGCAUUCCGUUUGUAGCGGUGACAUGCGUAGCUAUUCGGAGGAACACCAGUGGCGAAGGCGGCCUGCUGGACCUUACCUGACGCUGAGGCGCGAACGCGUGGGGAGCAAACAGGAUUAGCUACCCGAGUAGUC